CCCCCCCACCUUCAUCUCCUCCUCAUCCAGGAUCUCCAUGAAGCCGUCAUCCUCCUCCUCGUCGUCGCCCACGGCGGAGGUGAGGGAGCAGCGGCGCAGCACCACGGGGCUCUCAGCCUCACGGAGGUUUUCCUUCUCGGGGGUAUCAAACAGCAGGUCGGGCGCAGAGCUGGGCCUCGGCACGCAGGGCUCCUUCCCCGGCGCCCCCUCCAUUGCCGGCACCCGGCUGCGGUGCCCCGGCCUCUGCGGCUUCUUAAACACGGCCCCCUCAUCGUCACGGCGCUGCCCCCCCCCCCGCGGGCUGCUGAAGGCGCUGCAGUUGGAGACGUCCCGCAGGGCCGGGCUGCUCCCCAGGAGCCUCGGAGGCAAAGAGUGGAUCCUGCGGAUGAGGAACUUCUUGUCUGUGAUGAUCUUCCCGGCCUCCAGCACUGCCUUCUCAAAGAUUUCCUCCAUGGCCUCGGGGUCCUCCUCUGUUGGGGACUCCAACCCCACUCCCGCAUCGGAGCCCUCGGAGCUGAUGGAGUCCUGGGAUGACCCCGAGGAGGCGCGGCUCAGCUGGCAGCGCUGCAGGGCCCCCCCCGCCACCUUCCUCCGGGGGGUGUCACAGUGGCUGCAUAUGGGGGGGGGGGGACACAGCACCGCAUCACCCCCCAAUCCCACACCCCC
rnacentral:lncRNA from 1 species